GGGUACCUUGGGAUAAAAUGUGUGCCUAAAACCCCAUGUGCCUGCUGUUCAAGACAGCCCAACAAACUGAACCUGAAGAUUGAAUAUUCUGUGACCAUCAGAGAAAGACUCUCCUUGCCAUCCACACUGCAACAAAACUUUGGAACCUUGUACGUUGGAUUCAUAACCAAACAACUGAGAAGGGUCCCUCCAUACUCUUGGAAUUGUACACCCAUUGGAACCCUUAAGGUAAAAUGAACCAAGAAAGUUUCUCCCCAGAAGAAGAUGGAAUACUUGAUGUGAACAGCUUUUCCCAAGAUCACGAAUCAAGACUUCUACUAUCAUGAGACUCUUA